GAUGAACGCUGGCGGCGUGCCUAAUACAUGCAAGUCGAGCGAACGGACGAGAAGCUUGCUUCUCUGAUGUUAGCGGCGGACGGGUGAGUAACACGUGGAUAACCUACCCAUAAGACUGGGAUAACUUCGGGAAACCGGGGCUAAUACCGGAUAAUAUUUUGAACCGCAUGGUUCAAAAGUGAAAGACGGUCUUGCUGUCACUUAUGGAUGGAUCCGCGCUGCAUUAGCUAGUUGGUAAGGUAACGGCUUACCAAGGCAACGAUGCAUAGCCGACCUGAGAGGGUGAUCGGCCACACUGGAACUGAGACACGGUCCAGACUCCUACGGGAGGCAGCAGUAGGGAAUCUUCCGCAAUGGGCGAAAGCCUGACGGAGCAACGCCGCGUGAGUGAUGAAGGUCUUCGGAUCGUAAAACUCUGUUAUUAGGGAAGAACAUAUGUGUAAGUAACUGUGCACAUCUUGACGGUACCUAAUCAGAAAGCCACGGCUAACUACGUGCCAGCAGCCGCGGUAAUACGUAGGUGGCAAGCGUUAUCCGGAAUUAUUGGGCGUAAAGCGCGCGUAGGCGGUUUUUUAAGUCUGAUGUGAAAGCCCACGGCUCAACCGUGGAGGGUCAUUGGAAACUGGAAAACUUGAGUGCAGAAGAGGAAAGUGGAAUUCCAUGUGUAGCGGUGAAAUGCGCAGAGAUAUGGAGGAACACCAGUGGCGAAGGCGACUUUCUGGUCUGUAACUGACGCUGAUGUGCGAAAGCGUGGGGAUCAAACGGGAUUAGAUACCCUGGUAGUCCACGCCGUAAACGAUGAGUGCUAAGUGUUAGGGGGUUUCCGCCCCUUAGUGCUGCAGCUAACGCAUUAAGCACUCCGCCUGGGGAGUACGACCGCAAGGUUGAAACUCAAAGGAAUUGACGGGGACCCGCACAAGCGGUGGAGCAUGUGGUUUAAUUCGAAGCAACGCGAAGAACCUUACCAAAUCUUGACAUCCUUUGACAACUCUAGAGAUAGAGCCUUCCCCUUCGGGGGACAAAGUGACAGGUGGUGCAUGGUUGUCGUCAGCUCGUGUCGUGAGAUGUUGGGUUAAGUCCCGCAACGAGCGCAACCCUUAAGCUUAGUUGCCAUCAUUAAGUUGGGCACUCUAAGUUGACUGCCGGUGACAAACCGGAGGAAGGUGGGGAUGACGUCAAAUCAUCAUGCCCCUUAUGAUUUGGGCUACACACGUGCUACAAUGGACAAUACAAAGGGCAGCGAAACCGCGAGGUCAAGCAAAUCCCAUAAAGUUGUUCUCAGUUCGGAUUGUAGUCUGCAACUCGACUACAUGAAGCUGGAAUCGCUAGUAAUCGUAGAUCAGCAUGCUACGGUGAAUACGUUCCCGGGUCU
rnacentral:rRNA from 1 species